rnacentral:rRNA from 1 species
GAUGAACGCUGGCGGCGUGCCUAAUACAUGCAAGUCGAGCGAACGGACGAGAAGCUUGCUUCUCUGAUGUUAGCGGCGGACGGGUGAGUAACACGUGGAUAACCUACCUAUAAGACUGGGAUAACUUCGGGAAACCGUAGCUAAUACCGGAUAAUAUUUUGAACCGCAUGGUUCAAAAGUGAAAGACGGUCUUGCUGUCACUUAUAGAUGGAUCCGCGCUGCAUUAGCUAGUUGGUAAGGUAACGGCUUACCAAGGCAACGAUGCAUAGCCGACCUGUGAGGGUGAUCGGCGACACUGGAACUGAGACACGGUCCAGAGUCCUACGGGAGGCAGCAGUAGGGAAUCUUCCGCAAUGGGCGAAAGCCUGACGGAGCAACGCCGCGUGAGUGAUGAAGGUCUUCGGAUCGUAAAACUCUGUUAUUAGGGAAGAACAUAUGUGUAAGUAACUGUGCACAUCUUGGCGGUAACUAAUCAGAAAGCCACGGCUAACUACGUG